rnacentral:rRNA from 1 species
AUUGAACGCUGGCGGCAGGCCUAACACAUGCAAGUCGAGCGGAAACGAAGGGAGCUUGCUCCCAGGCGUCGAGCGGCGGACGGGUGAGUAACACGUGAGAAUCUGCCCAUUAGUGGGGGACAACACGGGGAAACUCGAGCUAAUACCGCAUAAUCCCUACGGGGGGAAAGCAGGGGACCUUUUGGCCUUGCGCUGAUGGAUGAGCUGACGUCGGAUUAGCUUGUUGGUGAGGUAAAGGCUCACCAAGGCGACGAUCCGUAGCUGGUCUGAGAGGAUGAUCAGCCACACUGGGACUGAGACACGGCCCAGACUCCUACGGGAGGCAGCAGUAGGGAAUCUUGGACAAUGGGGGCAACCCUGAUCCAGCCAUGCCGCGUGUGUGAAGAAGGCCUUCGGGUUGUAAAGCACUUUCAGCAGGGAGGAAGGCUUUGGCCGAAUAGGUUGAAGUACUUGACGUUACCUGCAGAGGAAGCACCGGCUAAUUUCGUGCCAGCAGCCGCCGUAA